GUGCUCACUUCAGCAGCACAUACACUAAAAUUAGAAUGAUCCAGAGAUGACUAUGUCCCCCCCGCAAGGAUGACAUGCAAAUUCAUGUAGUGCUCCAUAUUUUU